rnacentral:rRNA from 1 species
GACAGAGGGGGCAAGCGUUGCUCGGAAUCACUGGGCGUAAAGGGCGCGUAGGCGGGAUGGCAAGUCGGUCGUGAAAUCCCUGGGCUCAACUCAGGGGGGUCGGCCGAUACUGCCGUUCUUGAGGGAUGCAGAGGAGACUGGAAUUCCCGGUGUAGCGGUGAAAUGUGUAGAGAUCGGGAGGAACACCGGUGGCGAAGGCGGGUCUCUGGGCAAUUCCUGACGCUGAGGCGCGAAAGCGUGGGGAGCAAACGGG